rnacentral:rRNA from 1 species
AGCGAACGCUGGCGGCAGGCUUAACACAUGCAAGUCGAGCGGGCGUAGCAAUACGUCAGCGGCAGACGGGUGAGUAACGCGUGGGAACGUACCUUUUGGUUCGGAACAACACAGGGAAACUUGUGCUAAUACCGGAUAAGCCCUUACGGGGAAAGAUUUAUCGCCGAAAGAUCGGCCCGCGUCUGAUUAGCUAGUUGGUGAGGUAACGGCUCACCAAGGCGACGAUCAGUAGCUGGUCUGAGAGGAUGAUCAGCCACAUUGGGACUGAGACACGGCCCAAACUCCUACGGGAGGCAGCAGUGGGGAAUAUUGGACAAUGGGCGCAAGCCUGAUCCAGCCAUGCCGCGUGAGUGAUGAAGGCCCUAGGGUUGUAAAGCUCUUUUGUGCGGGAAGAUAAUGACGGUACCGCAAGAAUAAGCCCCGGCUAACUUCGUGCCAGCAGCCGCGGUAAUACGAAGGGGGCUAGCGUUGCUCGGAAUCACUGGGCGUAAAGGGUGCGUAGGCGGGUCUUUAAGUCAGAGGUGAAAUCCUGGAGCUCAACUCCAGAACUGCCUUUGAUACUGAGGAUCUUGAGUUCGGGAGAGGUGAGUGGAACUGCGAGUGUAGAGGUGAAAUUCGUAGAUAUUCGCAAGAACACCAGUGGCGAAGGCGGCUCACUGGCCCGAUACUGACGCUGAGGCACGAAAGCGUGGGGAGCAAACAGG